CAGAUGGACACACGACCAGACAAACGGCAAGCAAAAAGGCAAACAACCAAAGCCAGCAUUUGCUCCUGAGCUCUAAAAAACAACUGUUCAGUAAUUAUAUGAUAACUAUCUAAAGUGUGACAAACUGAUCUCAGUUACACUUGUAUAAAGCCUGACCACAGUCCAUGUUGUUUCUUAGAUGCAACUGAGAGCCACAAGUGGUUUUAUUAAGGGACAGUUUACAACGUGGAUGUUUCUACCAGGCUAGAUGAGUAAAGGUACGCUGGAAGAAAAUGACUGUCACUUACAGGACCGCCGCGGGAACCCAUUGGACCUGGGGCACCUGCUGGACCAGUCUCUCCCUGUAAGGAACAAGAAUGAUUACCAGGAUUUCCUCCUCUUCCCAGGAGACAGUGAUGCUACUGUUCAUGGCAUCACACAUCUUUAUGGAGGAUGCUUUACCUUAUCUCCAGGUGGGCCGGCAGGACCAGGAGGACCGAUGGGACCGACAUUACCCUAAACAAUUAGAAUAUAUUUUGUAUCAAAAUAUGACACUGUUAUCUCAUUUAUUUUGAUCAAUAUCAUUAUCAACGUGUUUGCACUGAAACACAAAUGUUAUCUAAAUGAAAGCGCUCUACAAUGGCAGCAUGUUGUUGCACACUACAUUUUGGAAUGAUAUACUGACAUCACACUAUUUUGUGAUGUGAGAUAUCUCCAAUUCAUUUCUCAUUAUUUUUCCCCCCAUAUAAAUCUAAUCCAAAGCCACUUGUAGUCAGUGAGUCUCUUUCAAUAGACAACAAAAGUCACCUAUUGCUUUAACUUCUUAUAUAGAUAAUUGGUCCAUAUUUCUCUGGGAUAAAUUCAACAUCUCUUGACCAAUGCCCUCAUUUUUUUUCCUUGAGAAUUCAAUGUGUACCAUAUGGAUUGAAAUCUACUUCUCUACUUCUCCCACUCGUACAAGCUGCGUUAAUAUUUUUUCUGUCCCUUGUUAUUUUGAUGUAUAUAUCACUUACAUGUACUUGUUGGAUUUAUGUAUACACUUCAAGUGCAUAUGCUAUAUAGAUGUAUAAAUAUGUCAUACAUAGUAAACUGUAGUCUGUAUGAGA